rnacentral:rRNA from 1 species
UACGUAGGUGGCAAGCGUUUGUCCGGAUUUACUGGGCGUAAAGAGCGCGCAGGCGGUCGUUCAAGUCGCGUUGUGAAAGCCCCCGGCUCAACUGGGGAGGGUCACGCGAUACUGAUCGACUCGAAGGCAGGAGAGGGUAGUGGAAUUCCCGGUGUAGUGGUGAAAUGCGUAGAGAUCGGGAGGAACACCAGCGGCGAAGGCGGCGACCUGGACAAGUACUGACACUCAACUACGAAAGCGUGGGGAGCAAACAGGG